rnacentral:rRNA from 1 species
GAACGAACGCUGGCGGCAGGCCUCAAACAUGCAAGUCUAGGGGGUGUAGCAAUACAUCACCGGCGGACGGGUGCGUAACGCGUGGGAAUAUACCUAUCGAUUCGGAACAACUGAGGGAAACUUCAGCUAAUACCGAAUACGUCCUAACGGAGAAAGAUUUAUCGUCGAUAGAUUAGCCCGCGUUCGAUUAGCUAGUUGGUGGGGUAACGGCCCACCAAGGCGACGAUCGAUAGCUGUUCUGAGAGGAAGAUCAGCCACACUGGGACUGAGACACGGCCCAGACUCCUACGGGAGGCAGCAGUUGGGAAUCUUGGACAAUGGGGGAAACCCUGAUCCAGCCAUGCCGCGUGAGUGAUGAAGGCCUUCGGGUUGUAAAACUCUUUCGCGCACGACGAUAAUGACGGUAGUGCGAGAAGAAGCUCCGGCUAACUUCGUG